rnacentral:lncRNA from 1 species
UUGUUGUUGUUGUUGUCCUUGCUGUUGUUGUUGUUGUUGUUGUUGUUGUUGUUGUUGUUGUUGUUGUUGUCAUUGUCGUUUGUUUUGUUGUCUUCGUCGUCGUCGUCGUCGUCGUUGUUGUUGUUCUUGUUGUUGUUGUUUGUUGUUGUUGUUGUUGUUGUCGUUGUUGUCAAUGUUGUCGUUGUUGUCGUUGUUGUUGUUGUUGUUGUUGUUGUUGUUGUUGUUGUUGUUG